CAGCCGUAAACUAUGCUCGCUAGGUGUCAGGCAUGGCGCGACCGUGUCUGGUGCCGCAGGGAAGCCGUGAAGCGAGCCACCUGGGAAGUACGGCCGCAAGGCUGAAACUUAAAGGAAUUGGCGGGGGAGCACAACAACGGGUGGAGCCUGCGGUUUAAUUGGACUCAACGCCGGGAAGCUCACCGGAUAAGACAGCGGAAUGAUUGCCGGGCUGAAGACCCUGCAUGACCAGCUGAGAGGUGGUGCAUGGCGUAGUCGUGU
rnacentral:rRNA from 1 species